UACGUAGGGGGCAAGCGUUGUCCGGAUUUAUUGGGCGUAAAGAGCGUGUAGGCGGCCAGACAGGUCCGUUGUGAAAACUCGAGGCUCAACCUCGAGACGCCGAUGGAAACCGUCUGGCUAGAGUCCGGAAGAGGAGAGUGGAAUUCCUGGUGUAGCGGUGAAAUGCGCAGAUAUCAGGAAGAACACCCGUGGCUAAGGCGGCUCUCUAGUACGGUACUGACGCUGAGA
rnacentral:rRNA from 1 species